UACGAAGGGGGCUAGCGUUGUUCGGAUUUACUGGGCGUAAAGCGCGUGUAGGCGGGUCGUUAAGUUGGGGGUGAAAACCCGGAGCUCAACUCCGGAACUGACUUCAAAACUAGCGACCUGGAGCAUGUCAGAGGCGAGUGGAAUUGCGAGUGUAGAGGUGAAAUUCGUAGAUAUUCGCAGGAACACCAGUGGCGAAGGCGACUCGCUGGGACAUUGUUUACCCUGAGACGCGAAAGCGUGGGGAGCAAACAGG
rnacentral:rRNA from 1 species